UUUAGUGUCUAUGUUUUGCAGCACCUUUUACUGUCUGGUCCUCACCCUGCCCGCACACCUGUUCCUCAUUGGUAAUCAGUUCAAUUCAGUUCCACCUGCUUCCCUCUUUCAGUGCUGCUUCCUUACCGAAUGUUGGUCAAAGUGUGUUAAACAUCGUCACACCUAAUCCCGUUUCCUGAACUAUUUAUGAAAAUCCGCCCUUAAAUGUUUGAGUUACGUUGCGAACAGAAAGUCCUGGCAGAGGUCCCAAAUAAGAAUGAAUCGUGUUUACCUGCAAAGACUCCAGGAAGCGAAAGGAUCCCAGGCGUCGACCUCGAGGGACCAAACAAAAGGUGGAGUUGUGGAGCAGCUCUUGGUAAUCGAACCUAGGAAAAGAAUGGUGCCUGUAACACGGCAGUAAAACGGCUGAUCAGACAAAACAGAAGUCAUCAUCGUGGACCCACUAGCUGCAGAAGCUAGCUCUCCAACCAGCUAAACCGACUCAAUAACUCCACGGUGACAUUUUGAUUAAAGCACAGGAAGUGAAACAAAUGGAAAAAGUGUAGAACCGAGUAAGCUCGGCUUCUUCCUCCUACUGUUCGGACAUGUUGUAGUGAGAAACUGGAAAUAUGUGAUGUACCAUAUUGUAACUUGUUGAUUGUAGAAUCAACCAUGACAUUUUCCCAGGCUACCCGGGCUUAUUUUGCACAGAAGUUGCCAGAACUUGUUUUUGGGACUCGAAAACAGCUCUGACCUCGUGUUUUACGAUCAACGGACGGCGGUUUGUUCGCCGGAGCCACCUCUAAAUAGAGCUGCUAUUCAUGUCAUCUCGUCAUCCAUCAUGGAGUGUCGUCGUAGGGCGAGGGCUCGACUCUUCUUGCUGCUUUGACCGUACAACACAACAAAAUGCUUCAAAAGCAAAGAGUUUUGUUCGGAAGGUUGAGCAAAAAUCACUUGAAAUCCACUCUGAGCGGUACGCAGAUGACAUUGGUUUAGAUUCGAGCGAAACAUGAAUCUUUGUAUUGACGCUGCAGAGAAUAAUCCAGUUUUCAACGCCCUGAAGAGGAAAUGUGCUGUGGGCGCAUUUGCUAACUGUAUUUUAUUAUUUAUAGGACUCUUAAAUCAACACUUGAGUGUGUUUGAUAUGAUGACGUGUUCAUGUGUGGAAGUCUUAAAGCUCACGUCUUAUUGAAGUUCUAGUUAGAGUGCAUUGGGGGAACAAAGUAGAUAUGGUAAUAAAUCUUCAGAAUUAUUAGGUGGUGUGAGAUGAAAUGUGUUUUCAAGUCUGUGUGGUGGUGGCAACUUUACUAGCUCUUCUCUAAGCAAAGACAUGAGACGAGAAUGAAUAAGUCGUGCUGUGGUACUGUGCAGAAACAGGUGUGGGA